GUGUACAUCCACGUCACCCUGAAGAGACUCGAUUUCGUCUGAUCUCGGAAGCUAAGCAGAGUCGGGCCUGGUUAGUACUUGGAUGGGAGAUCACCUAGGAAGACCAAGUGCUGUAGGGC
rnacentral:rRNA from 1 species